AUGAUGCUCUCUGUCUGAGAGAAAUCAGUUGAUUUGUUCAGAUGAAUUAGAGGUUUACAACAUUUUUUUGAAAACGUACACUGUCUGAGAUAUUGCAUGAGACCUCUGUCUUCCAAUCCAGUUGUUUUUUGUUUUCAGAUAUGGAUCACCUGUGCUGUAAUGUAUAAAAAUAUCACUAAGUACUUAAACAACCUUAACUGAAUUCCCUGGAUUUGGAGUGUUUGUUCUGAGGAUGUUUGCAAUGCCCUGGGCAAUGUGUAUAUUUGUCCCUGUCCUGACUUACUGAUAAGUCCUCUCAACCUUCACCUAAUUUCUGGCUUUAGAACAAACAGGCAGCUUAAUGUUUCUGAGAGGUUGUAUAUCUAGGAGCAGCAGCCGCAAUGUCUCCUAAGAGCAGGGAAAUCAUCGGGGAGGCAGCUUGCAGCACCAGGGACGUCACUCUGGAGUUAUGAGAUCACAAUGGCUACUCAAGCUUGCAAUGCUGUGAGCAGGAUGUGAGGAGGAUGGGAGGCAGUCUGGAGCCCUUCUUUGCACUUGGUCCCUUUGGAACAGGUCAGAAAUGAAGCCCUUUACUCUGAUGUCCCAGUCCCUGGAGAAGCUGAAGUGACUACCGACUCACACUUGUCAUCCACAAAGGCAGCUCUCAUUUCAGCACUAGAGGCAGCUGCCAGGGCAGGAUGAGGCUGAAGCACUGCCCUCAGAAAAGCAGGACCAUCAACACACCAUGCCCUAUACAUGUCUUUCCUGUGUGCACCUUCUAUCUUGGUGGCACAUGAUGGGGAGAAGGAGGAAGGACUCUUUUUUGUGCUUAAAUUCAUCACUUUGAUGAAGCUGAGGGAGUGAGUCUUGUGUCCUUCAGCACUGUAAAUAGCAUCCCACUUUCUUCCUGUGAUCAGCUGUGAAAAUUAGGCUCCUGUGUCCUUGGGGACAAAUUUCCAGUACUGGGCGAAGGUUGGAGGUAGCAGUGUCUGGGUCUUUAAGCCAUCCAGACUUUAACUCCUGUGGUUCUCACAUUGGUUAAGUUUUGGUGACCUUGAUAAUGGAUUGCUGGGAAAUAACUGAAUAUUCUUCUAAAUUGGGUGAGUUCUUUUCCCCCCAUGCAUGGCUGAUUUGUUCUGUCAACCAUAACCUGCCAUGGAGCAAGACCUUUUGAAGUCCAUGCUUCAGCAACAAAGGUGACUCACAAGGUGAUACAGAUCAGAUAAACUGGAUCCUCAGUGCCGAGCCGGUCCUGUUCUGUGCCCUGCAGAGCAAAUCUGUUGCAAUUUCAUAGUCUUUGUGCUUCUUUUUGGUCUCUGCCUGCAUUAUCACACCUAUUGGGACACAAUAGCAAAAGCAGGUGAGGAUGGAUGUCUUGGGCAUCUCAGGCAUGAUCUGCAAUGAUCUGCAGUAAAAGCUCAUCUUCCAACAGAACUUCACACCGUGAACAGCACAAGUCAUCCACAGCAGAGGAUUAAGGUGCAGAGCUGGUAGAAGAUGAGCUCAGGAUGUCAAGUGGGUCAAACACUGUUUAUCUUGGAUGCUAAAAUCUACAACAGAAAAAUGAUGUAAGUUUCCUGAAGGGACAGAUAACCUAAGAAAGUACUUCAUCUCUUAUUACAUGUACUUAUUUUAUUGCAGGGUAACAAAGCACCAUGUUGACCUCCCACACUACCACAGGGCAUUAAUUAAUAGCAUAGUAAUUUAUAAACUACAUGAUACAUAUUACUGGGCCUUUUUUUUUCUAUCCACAUCUCCUAAAUCCCACUGUCCACUGGCAGAUUGCUUUCCACUGGUAAUUGUGUGAGGAAUGUGGAGGUGAAAAAUCGCACAGGGGCUGCAGCUACCAGGAGAGUCCCACUCUUGCACACCCAGGAUAGCAGUUUUGCUGGAAGGGUUCAUAUAAACAUUCCAGUUAACAUUUCCCACCGACAGUUUGUGUUAUGGGCUUUUUGUAGCCUGAGCUAAUUAAUCAAUAUUCAGACAUACACUAAAUAUGCUCAUCUUUAAACUUUAUAAUAGUAAAAUAAGUACCCUUCAAGUUGCUACAUAACAUUUUUAGUUAGGGGAUGUUGCUAUCACUGUGUAGAACAUGCAGACUGCAAUGUUGUCUGGCCAUAAAAACAGAUUUGCCAAGCCCCAAGGUGUUAACAAACCACCUUCUACUAAAAGCAGAAGCAAGAGGCCACUCCAAUGCACAGGAAGCUCAGCAGCUGUCUACAUGAACAUCACAAGCAAGGCACAGAGAAGCUGCUCUAGCAGUGACCAAACCCUACAUGACUGUAGUUGUUUUCAUGUUUCAUUUUCCAUAGCAAUUUUCAUUCUGUUGGACUCCAGAUGCAGUAAGACUCUUGUAACCACCCCAUGCCUUACCAGGGAAAAAAUCCACUGCCUCUUAUAAACAAAACUAAUCCUAAACAAGACUCAAGUGGGAAGACUGUUUUGACAAUUGGCUUCUCCAUGGAUUAGGAUGUUCCUGAUUGACAGUUUUUUCUGUAAAAACAAAGCUGGAUUUCUUUCUUUCGUUUAUAUACCUCCAUAUCUAUUUUACCUGAAAUUAUGGCAAGGACAACUAAUCAAUUUAUAUUAAUAAAGCUGAGUAAUGAAUCUCCCUUACAGAAGCAUAUAAACACGUUAGAAGCUACAGGAAGCACGGACAUUUAUGGCAAGUUGAAAUACAAGUUUUUCCUGUUCUCUGGCUACAAGAACAUGAUGUCCCACCCACUGCUCAUUGUUGCACUUACUGAUUUUUUUAUAUGAACAGCUGUGCUAGAAAGAUGAAAGAAUUUCACUAAGUUCAUGGGUGUGAUAAGAACCAUCACUAAAGAUUCAGACAUUCCUUUAAAUAUAUUUCAACCAUUUCUGAUCCUGAAAUGGUCCUCAGGUCCUCUGAUGAAGAUCAAACUUUGUAUCAGCCUACAGUGUUUGACCCAUAUUUUCCGUCUCUAUACCAUAUUGAAAGGAAGGUCAGGGCUCAGCUAGCGGGGAAAGGAGGUUAACAAAAAACCAAACAAUUGACGAUUUAUAGGAAAUAGAACUUGGCAACUAGGAGGGUUAUUUCUCCUUUGAUAUGGUUUUUUUUUUUUUGGUUUGGGGUUUUUAUAAGGGGAACGAUCUGGGGUUUUUUUAGGGAAAUGAGAUUUAUGCAGUUGCCUAAUCUGGUACAGUUUUUCUUCCUAUUUUCUUAUCCACAGCAUUUUUUAAACCACAAGCUGAACUGAAGCAAAAUCUUAUCAACUAUAUCAUGAGGUUCUUGAAAACAUCUCUUCAAUGUUUUGAUAACCUGUCUAACAGACCCUUGGGUUUUAGGCAAAAUGCAAAGGAGUAGACAUUGCUUGCCUCUUGUAGAGCUCACAUAGAAUUCACUAAGGUUCAGGAAGUGACCUUUAAGAUCACUGAGUCCAGUCUUUAACCCAGCAACACCAUGUUUAUCUCUAAACCAUGUCCCCAAGCGCCAUAUCCACAGACCAAGAGGGCAGAAGGUUCAAGAAGGGGGAUUUUUUUCACUUUUUUUCUACUGCCAUGGCUAGAGGGGUCUGGUACCCUUGCAGAGGGCUGUACACCGUAGGGUGUACUUGCUACUGAUACCUUGUCUAAGAGGGCUCUGGUGAUUCACCUUUAAACAUCUGUAGGCCUUUACAUCUAAAACCCUGCUGCAUCACCUCAUGUAGUUGUGUUGCAGCACCAAGUGGACCAAGCCCUGAGCAGCCUAUCACAUCCCAUCCCAGAACUGCGUGGCUUUGGCAGGAGGUUGAAAAGGAAACCCUGCAAGGGCUCUGCAGCCCCAGCAGUGCUCUGAGGCUGCAGCCACAUUCCAGGCCAGGAGAUGUGACUGGAAAAAUAGAAUUAGAAGGAGGCUAGCACAAUUAGAAUCAAGCAGACCUAGCCUCAUGGGACAUACAGUUUGCCAGACUAACAUGAUUUUUUAAAUGAAGCUUCUUUUCAGCAGCUAGGGUGUAUGCAGUCACGCUGUCAUUCACCUGCUUCUCCUCCCAUCAUAUCUUCUCUUUCUUCCCAGCUGCUUCUGGGUACAAGCUAGCAAGCCUAGAAAGCCAGCUGGGGGAAAGGAGCACAGCUAACAUGCCCAUCAUCUAACCUUCUUUGGACUCCAACAGAGACAUACUGCUACCAAAGACUUCUGAUUGAUUUUUACCUCCUUCCUAAGGACACCACAUUACUGAAGACUCACAUUUCAGGUGCCCUCAUUUUUUCAGUGGUAUGACCAUAGUUUCCAACCCUGCUUUUCUUCCUGCUGCUUGACUCUUUCCUUUGCAUUGAUGAUCAUCUCAGCAAGGAAACUCAGUCAUCUUUCAAAAUAUCUGCUUUCCUUUAUACAGUCACCCAAGGGAUGCAGAAAGCUCAGCCUCACGUGUCAUGUUGCUCCUUUCCAAACCUGCUUUCUCCUACUGGAUCCUGUGAUCUGCAAGGACCAUGCCAACAGCUUGGGGCACAGAGCUGCUUCUCAGCUCUGGUGUUGAGGAGCACAAUAGGGAGUGUUCCAGACCUGUCUUACACACACAAAUCUCUGUGCUUCUCAUUUCUGUACAAGGGACUUGAGCAGGUCCCCCAGUUUGGACAAACAGAAGAGAAGAACCUCAGGACAGAGGCAGCCAAAGACACUGAAAUAUUUUUUUUUGCCUGUGAGAGGAAGUAUGAUAAAUUUGAAAUGGUCACCCACAGUGGCUCACAGUAGCACUGUAAGGCAACUGAAACCAUGAGGAAAAAAGCCACAAGAUACCACCAUGCAAGAGCCAAAAGUUAGCAGCUGGAGAGCAAGUGGACAGCUAAAAGGGGAACACAGUACUGCUGACUCUGCAUUCGUAUUUUACCCACUAAGUGUACUGCUGAGAAAGAAAAGUGCUGGUGCCACAUUGCUACUAUUGCAGCUUUAAAAGAGACAGUGAGAUUAUUUAGUUACAGCAAAUAAAUCACUGCAGGACUGGGUGAAUGGGAAAACAAUGGUCCUAAAAGGUUAAAAAUUUUUCUGAGAACAUAUCCAUAAGGCAUCAAAAUAUGUGAAACUCAUUCUUCACACAACAGCCCUCAGCUGUUGUGUAAGCAAAAAAUCCCCAAAUGAUUUCAGGCUUGCAGCUAUUAGCAUGAGGUUGAGAAACACAAGUUUGUUUGCUCUUACAGAGAGGGUAAUUUAAAAGAAAUAAAGGAUACAACUAUGCAAACACA